rnacentral:rRNA from 1 species
GACGAACGCUGGCGGCGUGCUUAACACAUGCAAGUCGAACGGAAAGGCCCCUUCGGGGGUACUCGAGUGGCGAACAGGUGAGUAACACGUGAGUAACCUGCCCUUGACUUCGGGAUAACUUCAGGAAACUGGGGCUAAUACCGGAUAGGAAUCCUUGCUGCAUGGUGGGGGUUGGAAAGCUUCGGCGGUUUUGGAUGGACUCGCGGCUUAUCAGCUUGUUGGUGGGGUAGUGGCUUACCAAGGCGUUGACGGGUAGCCGGCCUGAGAGGGCGACCGGCCACAUUGGGACUGAGAUACGGCCCAGACUCCUACGGGAGGCAGCAGGGGGGAAUAUUGCACAAUGGGCGGAAGCCUGAUGCAGCAACGCCGCGUGCGGGAUGACGGCCUUCGGGUUGUAAACCGCUUUCAGCAGGGGCGAAGCUUGUGGUGACGGUACCUGCAGAAGAAGCACCGGCUAACUACGUG